rnacentral:rRNA from 1 species
CCUACGGGUGGCUGCAGUGGGGAAUAUUGGGCAAUGGACGCAAGUCUGACCCAGCAACGCCGCGUGAAGGAAGAAGGCUUUCGGGUUGUAAACUUCUUUUAAGGGGGAAGAGCAGAAGACGGUACCACUUGAAUAAGCCACGGCUAACUACGUGCCAGCAGCCGCGGUAAUACGUAGGUGGCAAGCGUUAUCCGGAUUUACUGGGUGUAAAGGGAGCGUAGACGGCGCUGCAAGUCCGGAGUGAAAGCCCAUGGCUUAACCAUGGUACUGCUCUGGAAACUGUGGAGCUUGAGUGCGGGAGGGGCAGGCGGAAGUCCUAGUGUAGCGGUGAAAUGCGUAGAUAUUAGGAGGAACACCGGCGGCGAAGGCGGCCUGCUGGACCGUAACUGACGUUGAGGCUCGAAAGCGUGGGGAGCAAACAGGAUUAGAUACCCGUGUAGUC